AGUUUAUGGUUUUUUUUAGGUUUAUGAUUUUUAUGAUUAAGGUUUAAAUGUUUUAGGGUUUCUUAGGUUUUUUUAAGAAUUUGGAUUUCUUAAGAUUUAGGAUUACGUAGGCCUAAUAUAUGGCAUAGGAUUUUAAGUUUAGGGUUUUUUCUAGGGCUUAUGGUUUUGAAGGGAUAUUUUUUCCUCGAGUAUUAUAGUUUUAGGUGUUUAAAUGGAUUUUAGGGUGUAGGAUUUCUUGGGAUUCAAUAUGGUUUGGGGUUUAAUGUUUAGCCCUAUGAUUUAGAGUUAAGGAUUUAGAGUUUCUAAGGGUAUAUUACUUAGCGUUUAGGAUUUCUUAGGGUUUGAUUUUUUUAAGGGUUUUUAGGAUUUAGGGUUUUCGGGUUAAGAUUUUCUAGGGUUUUAUUAGGUUUAGAGAAAUUUUUAGGUUUAGGGUUUUAAGGUGUUUAGGAUUUUUAUGGUUUGUUAACGAUUAAGGGGUUCUUAGAUCUUAGGGAUUUUAUAGAGUUUUUAGGAUUUACGGUUUUUAAAACUUUAAGGUAUUAAAAGUUUUUUAGGGUUUUUUUUUAUUUCUUAAAGUUUAGGGUUUCUUAAGGUUUAGCCCUAAGGUGUAGGGUUUACUUGGGUAUAAGGUCUAUGUUUUUAUUUAAGGUUUACAAGAUUUAGGGUUUAAGUUUUUUUUUAAUUUUUUAGGUUUAGGAUUUUAAAGGGUUUUUCAAGAUUGUUGUGAUUUCCUACGAUUUAGGGAUUCUUAGGGUUUUGAAUUUCUUUGGGAUAAGGGCUUUGGAUUUUAAAUUUAGGGUUUUAGGGGUUACGGGUUUUAAGGAUGUUUUUAG
rnacentral:lncRNA from 1 species